CCAGACUCCUACGGGAGGCAGCAGUGAGGAAUAUUGGUCAAUGGGCGGAAGCCUGAACCAGCCAAGUCGCGUGAGGGAAGAAGGCCCUGCGGGUCGCAGACCUCUUUGGACGGGGAGCAGGGCCGCCGACGUGUCGGCGGAAGGAGAGUACCCGUAGAACAAGCAUCGGCUAACUCCGUGCCAGCAGCCGCGGUAAUACGGAGGAUGCGAGCGUUAUCCGGAUUUAUUGGGUUUAAAGGGUGCGUAGGCGGGCUUUUAAGUCAGCGGUAAAAAUUCGGGGCUCAACCCCGCCCAGCCGUCGGAACUGCCGGGCUAGAGUGGGCGAGAAGUGCGCGGAAUGCGUGGUGUAGCGGUGAAAUGCAUAGAUAUCACGCAGAACUCCGAUUGCGAAGGCAGCGCACCGGCGCCCUACUGACGCUCAGGCACGAAAGCGUGGGUAUCGAACAGGAUUAGAUACCCGCGUAU
rnacentral:rRNA from 1 species